UCUAAACUUAGAGGAGAUAUUGGAUGAUGUUGGGUUUCUGUCUGCUGCAAGUGCAGUGGAAGCAGAAGUACCAGCAUCAUCCAGUAUUUCUUCUAAAGGAAGUAUACCAAAAGAAACGGGUGAUGAUUCAAAAUCACAUCAUCCAAGACUUCAGUUGACCGGAAGAGAAACGACUUCUUGAAAAAGAAGGCGUCAGACUGUCUUCUCAUUAACCUCUCACAAAAGAUGAAGAGCAUGAACUUAAAAAGGUUAGAAGAAGAAUCUGUAAUAAGAUAUCAGCACAGGAUUCACGCAGGAGAAAGAAGGGAUAAAUGGAUGACUUGGAAGAGAGGAUGAAUGAGGAAGUGGGCUGGUAUGUAGGGCUUACAGCAGAAGUAAUGCUGGCCAUGGUGUUUUCCAAUGGGAGUGAACCUUGUGGGCAGGAAGGGUUGGAGAAGACUUGCAGCCAGACUGCAUGGGUGUAUCCAUCUUGGUUGAAGUUGUGGCCAUGUCUGUUUUGAUGGAUUCCCUGAUUAUCUAAAAGUAAGUAAA